GACGAGGGACCCUAGCGUUGUUCGGAAUCAUUGGGCGUAAAGCGGGUGUAGGUGGCUUUGUAAGUCAGGUGUGAAAGCCCUGGGCUCAACCCAGGAAGUGCAUUUGAUACUGCGAAGCUUGAGUGCCGGAGAGGUUACUGGAAUACCUGGUGUAGUGGUGAAAAUACGUAGAUAUCAGGUGGGACACCGGAGGCGAAGGCGGGUAACUGGCCGGACACUGACACUCAGACCCGAAAGCGUGGGGAGUCAAACAGGAAU
rnacentral:rRNA from 1 species